CACGAAAAUUAAAAUACUUUUAUUUCAUUAUAAUUUCUUUUCACCAUAAACCUAUACUUCUUUUCGUCUCUUCUCUGUAACGUGUAAACAUAAUGAAAAGUAUAGCAUAGAAGCAAAAUAAAAUUAGUGUUUCACAUUCCUCGUGCGUGCGCUGUGUGUUCAUUAUGACGUGUUCGAGACGGCAAGUUUCUUGAGAUGAUCCAUGAAGACUUGUAAGCUGACGUCAUCAGUCAACACAGGUGCACCACCUGCAUCCUGACCCCACGCAUACAUGUUGUUGUGUGUUUGAGAUGGGUUCACUUUUGAUAACAAGAAACGAGCCUAGAAAAUAAGAACAAUUAAUUAAUAUCAGUGACUGGUCUAGCGCCAUGAGCCAUGCGUGAUCUGGAAUUUUGGUCAGAUUUUGCUCGAAAAAAUAUUUUAUAU